GGUUGAUCCUGCCAGUAGUUAUAUGCUUGUCUCAAAGAUUAAGCCAUGCAUGUCCAAGUAUAAAUCAAUUCAUACGGUGAAACUGCGAAUGGCUCAUUAUAUCAGUUAUUGUUUAUUUGAUGAUACACCUUUACCUGGAUAACCGUGGUAAUUCUAGAGCUAAUACAUGCACGAAAUCCCAACUCACGAAGGGAUGUAUUUAUUAGAUAAAAGCCAGCCCGAGCUUGCUCGGUUCAGCGUGGUGAUUCAUGAUAACUUUGCGAAUCGCAGGCCUUUUGGCGGCGAUGGUUCAU
rnacentral:rRNA from 1 species